CAAUCAAACCGGGAGAUAGCUGGUUCUCCCCGAAAGCUAUUUAGGUAGCGCCUCGUGAAUUCAUCUCCGGGGGUAGAGCACUGUUUCGGCUAGGGGGCCAUCCCGGCUUACCAACCCGAUGCAAACUGCGAAUACCGGAGAAUGUUAUCACGGGAGACACACGGCGGGUGCUAACGUCCGUCGUGAAGAGGGAAACAACCCAGACCGCCAGCUAAGGUCCCAAAGUCAUGGUUAAGUGGGAAACGAUGUGGGAAGGCCCAGACAGCCAGGAUGUUGGCUUAGAAGCAGCCAUCAUUUAAAGAAAGCGUAAUAGCUCACUGGUCGAGUCGGCCUGCGCGGAAGAUGUAACGGGGCUAAACCAUGCACCGAAGCUGCGGCAGCGAACGUAUCACCCAAGACAACUUUACGGAGUUGACGAUUGACGGAGCGAAGCGACGUCAAAGCGUUCAUUAAAGUCGAGUUGGCUUAGGGAUACGUUCGUUGGGUAGGGGAGCGUUCUGUAAGCCUGUGAAGGUGUGUCGUGAGGCAUGCUGGAGGUAUCAGAAGUGCGAAUGCUGACAUAAGUAACGAUAAAGCGGGUGAAAAGCCCGCUCGCCGGAAGACCAAGGGUUCCUGUCCAACGUUAAUCGGGGCAGGGUGAGUCGACCCCUAAGGCGAGGCCGAAAGGCGUAGUCGAUGGGAAACGGGUUAAUAUUCCCGUACUUGGUGUUACUGCGAAGGGGGGACGGAGAAGGCUAUGUUGGCCGGGCGACGGUUGUCCCGGUUUAAGCGUGUAGGUGUGUGUUCCAGGUAAAUCCGGUUCACUUUAACACUGAGGCGUGACGACGAGGCACUACGGUGCUGAAGCAACAAAUGCCCUGCUUCCAGGAAAAGCCUCUAAGCAUCAGGUAACAUCAAAUCGUACCCCAAACCGACACAGGUGGUCAGGUAGAGAAUACCAAGGCGCUUGAGAGAACUCGGGUGAAGGAACUAGGCAAAAUGGUGCCGUAACUUCGGGAGAAGGCACGCUGACACGUAGGUGAAGUGAUUUACUCAUGGAGCUGAAGUCAGUCGAAGAUACCAGCUGGCUGCAACUGUUUAUUAAAAACACAGCACUGUGCAAACACGAAAGUGGACGUAUACGGUGUGACGCCUGCCCGGUGCCGGAAGGUUAAUUGAUGGGGUCAGCGCAAGCGAAGCUCCUGAUCGAAGCCCCGGUAAACGGC
rnacentral:rRNA from 1 species